GGAACGAACGCUGGCGGCAUGCCUAACACAUGCAAGUCGAACGAUCUCUUCGGGGAUAGUGGCGCACGGGUGCGUAACGCGUGGGAAUCUGCCCUUGGGUUCGGAAUAACAGUUGGAAACGACUGCUAAUACCGGAUGAUGACGUUAAGUCCAAAGAUUUGUCGCCCAGGGAUGAGCCCGCGUAGGAUUAGCUAGUUGGUGAGGUAAAGGCUCACCAAGGCGACGAUCCUUAGCUGGUCUGAGAGGAUGAUCAGCCACACUGGGACUGAGACACGGCCCAGACUCCUACGGGAGGCAGCAGUGGGGAAUAUUGGACAAUGGGCGAAAGCCUGAUCCAGCAAUGCCGCGUGAGUGAUGAAGGCCUUAGGUUGUAAAGCUCUUUUACCCGGGAUGAUAAUGACAGUACCGGAGAAUAAGCUCCGGCCUAACUCCGUCGCCAGCAGCCGC
rnacentral:rRNA from 1 species